CUCUGCCAGGUUAAUAACUUGUACGAGUUUCCAAUGUUGACAGAACUUAUAGUUAAGGCAGAAAUGCCUUAGCACCAAAGCCCAUGAUUUUGAAAAGACAAAUAAUUUUAAAAUUAAUGUUUCCAAAGACACCAGAAGAUGUAUAGCAAAGUGAUAGCUGAACAAUUUCCCAACACAUCGCAUGGGAAGGCAUUGCUGUGAGUUCACUUCCAAAUGGAACAUCAGGGAAAGAAGUCUGACUGGAAGAGGUGGGGUUAGAAGACGACCUUGAGGGAUGAGUGUAAUUUUGGAAGGGUAGAAAAGGCCCAUUGACUGUCUGAGCAAUCAUGUGGAAGGAGAAAAUUGCAUCAUCUCUCUGAGAAAUAGAGCACGAACUGGUUGACCAAAGCCAAGAGCUCAGGAAAGUCUGAAGAUGGCAGAUUUGAGUACUUUCCUCUGGGGACUGGGGGUUGAUUGAGGGCCUUAGCAGUGCCUUUGAAAGGUUUGCUCUGAAGAGUACAUUUCCUAAGCUGGAAAGUCAGAGUCAAUUAGGGGGCCCGUGCAGUCCCCUUAACCGGAACCAUCACUGGUCUCCCUGAGGGUGGUGGCAGGGAAAACAGACAAGUGGAAAACCAAUGACCUACACAAAAUGGCUGGCUGAAAAGGGUUAACAGAGAGACUCUUCCCAGAGGUCUUGCUAGGGCCGGACUCUGCCGUCAGGGGUAGAGUCAUCCUCUGCAGCCAGCAACAGCCGGCAGCUCUUCCCACCGCGAGCUCUGAAGGGCCAGAGGGUGAGGUCCAAGUCCUGGACUCAGGGAGGGAAAGGCUGCCUGGCAGGAGCUGUGGCUCUGGGUGGAGGGACACAGCCAACCUGCUGUAACAAGCAGGGAAGGAGCCAGGAAAAUCAAUACCCCAUCUUCCCUCCUCCCUCCUCUCCCCUGCCAGUGCCCUGGGCAAGGGCCCCUCUGGUAAGUCCGCAUAGGUCAUCGUUCCUGGGCAGAGAGCAGGAUGGAGAAGAGUAGGGAGCGACCCAGGGGUGCGAGUGGAAGACACCCCACAUGGAAGGUUUGUUACGGGAUCAGAUCAUUGACAUGGCCCAGAGCCUGGCACCCAGACGACACUGAAGACUUGACGACGUCAUGUUUCAGACCUCCAACCAUCUAUGCUGUCACAGUCAUGACGAACAGAAGGCACUGAGACUCCCAGGACCAACUAUCAACCAUCAUCUUCGUUGCCUUUGUGACAGCUGCUCUGAGGUCCUUGUAAAUUUGCCCCUUUGACUUCAUUCUGAUUCUGUGUCCAGAGUUUAAUGGGGGGUGGGGGGGGGAACUUCUCUCAAGCCUCAAACCCUAUGUUCAUCAGUGAAAGGGAUUCCAGGGGCAAACUAUCCGAGAUAGCUUCCAAUCUUUUCCAUUCUUACUCUUAAUCCAAGAAGAGGUUUUAUCUGAGCAUGAUAGAAAUGAUUUGGGGCGCCUGGGUGGCUUAGUCGGUUAGGUGUCCGGCUUCAGCUCAGGUCAUGAUCUUGCAGUCCGUGAGUUCGAGCCCCGCGAUGGGCUUUGUGCUGACAGCUCAGAGCCUGGAGCCUGCUUCAGAUUCUCUGUCUCCCUCUCUCUCUGCCCCUCCCCUGCUCACGCUGUGUGUGUGUCUCUCUCUCAAAAAUAAAUAAACAUUAAAAAUAUAUAUAUAUAUUAAU
ensembl:lncRNA